UCCGACGGGAUACAAUAACAACUUGUAACCUGCACGGUCUCAAACAGAGCACGGAGAAGAGCAGCGGUCGGUAGUCGAGAUCUGCCGCGUCACAGAAGAAUCACACUAAAACCUGAUCAGAAAAAAACAACUCAAAAUCUGUCAGACCAUCGGAGAAGUGAACUCGAACGAGACUGAGAGAAAACGGAGCCUUUGUUUUCAGAAGCAGCAGGGAGCCGAACCGGAGGAAAAGAUUAUGAGUUUUCUGCCAUACUUCUCCGCUGAGACCUGGACUAUCCUGGCCCUCCUCAUCACCCUCAUUGUAGUGUACGGGUACUGGCCCUAUGGUGUAUUCACUAAGAUGGGUAUCCCUGGUCCCAAACCCCUACCUUACUUUGGCACAAUGAUGGGGUAUAGAAAGGGCAUCACUAACUUUGACACAGAUUGCUUUCAGAAGUA